AAACAAACAUCAUGUAUUUCUGAAAAUGUGUAACUACUAUACAGCUAGGCCUGGUAGUACUUCCUUGCUUCACUGAACCUAUCGCCAUGUUCCCUAGGGUCAGCCUCUGCCCUCUUCCUCUCAACAUUUCUUCUCAAAAUGGGCUUCAUCUUAUUUUAAGAGGGGGGGAAAAAAAAAGUCUUCCAGUCCUUUGCAGUUGAACUUUGACCAAGCACAAAACUAUAAGAUGCAUUGAUAUUUUUGAGAGAUGUUUCACUUUUACAAUGUAAUCUCUCAAUAUUUUCAGUUGUUGACAGCUCUACAUCUCUUGGUGAAGCAAAAUUUGUGCUUAACUUCACAAGUUUACCCCAGGAGGAUUUGUUGCUAUUGAUGGUGCCUGACCUAGAUGCUAACAUCUUUCAUAGCAGCAGGAUGUGGGCAGUAACCCUUACCUUAUUAAAGGAAAUCACAUGGACACCAGCUCAGCUUUGUGUAAUGUCCCUCAGUUUUCAGACUUCAUCCUUGCUGCUUCUCUAAAUCCCUUGAUAGGCUUGGCUGCUGCAUGUUAGUGAAGACUGGGCUUAAGUGCCUGGCCUGUGUUAGAUGCAUUAACCCAGUUAAAAAUCUCCAGAAUGUUUAUACCAUUUUAUUGUUCACACCUGAAAAAGGGGGUGCACUUUAGAAAGUGGCAUGAUAGCUAGUUAGAAUUGUUCCAAAGCUUGAAUAAACAGUUGCAGCUAAUUUACUCAAUCUGAACUGAGCUGCCGUGGUUACAGGUGAACAGGAGCAGUUCAAUUAACCUUAUUCUGUCCCUCAGUGGACUGCUGGCCUUGCUACAUUUAAUAGAAUGUCUCACUUCUGAGUGAGCCAGGAAAUGCAGCAUUAUACAGGGCAGUCCAUCUGAAAUGCCUUGUAGUGGGGUUAGUGUGAGCUUAAAGCAAAGCUUACACACUUCAACAUGACUAGUGUGGAUGCACUGAAAUGGUUGUGGUCAGAACAAUUUAGUUGACAAAGGGGUCAUAGAAAAGGUUGGAAUUAAGGCUGCUUAUUUUAGGGGGAUGGUAAGGACAAAAUGGGGGGAAGGUUUUCCUUUUGAAAGUUAAACGUCUUUGGAGCAGAAGCUUCUUUAAUUUUAAUCACAACUAUUCUUUUUUUGGAGCUAUAUUAAACUGAAAUCUGAACAGUUUUGAGAUCUUAUUCUCCUGACAGCAAAAGCUGCAAAGUGCCCUUGGGCUCUUCUCAGCCUACAUGUAUAGCUUUUAGUAGCAUUUGCCCUUGUGAAAGUGAUAGCAUUAACCAUAAUAAAUAUAAUUGCUUUCAUGUGUAUGUACACUGUGAAUAAGUGAGUAAUAAGUUUUGGUAGUGGGAUUCAAUUGCGUUUACUAGGAAGCUGAAAUGCAGUAUGAGUGUAAUCCAUUUGUGGUAUUUCUUCUUGCACUCUAGAGGCUGAUUAUAAGUUUUAACUGGGAUUUUUCAAGAAUCAUUAAAGGAGUUAUGUACCCAACUCCUAUUCUGUUGUGUAUGGCAUUAAGAUAUAACACUAAUAUGGUGUUAUCAGCACUGCCUAUAAUAAGUAACAUUUUUUCCACAGCCGGAACAUACCACUAGUUUGCCCUAGUCUCCCCUUGACUCACUUUCAAAUAGCUCUGCCUCCUAUUUUCCCAGCUAGAUUACUUCAGUCCUUUGGCCCUCCAGCCUAUUCUCUUGCCAUACAUAAUCCUUUCUGUACAGCAAGGCCCCUUUGAAAAAAAUUGUAACAUAUUGCCCACUCUAAUUUUUUUAAUGGAAAAAUACCCAUACUGGUGCAGCUCUCUAGAGCAAGCUAAUAUAUCAAUGGUGGUUCAUAGUGUAAAAUCUUUUUUAGAUUUCAUAGACAUUAGGGCUGGAAGGGACCUUGAAGAUCAUCAAGUCCAGGCCCCUGCCCCAGGGGCAGGAAGUGGCUAGGGUCAAAGGAUCCCAGCAAGAUAAGCAUCCAAGCUUUUCUUGAACGAGUCCAGAGAAGGUCACUGCACCACUUCUGGAGGGAGUCUAUUCCAGGUUUUGGGGGCUUGGACAGUAAAGAAUUUUUUUCUUAUGUCCAGCCUAAAAUGGUCUUGGAGGGGUUUAUGACCAUUGGUCCUUGUUUUCCCUUGGGGUGCUCUGCUGCACAUUCUCCCAGGUCCUGAGGUACACCCCUUAUGUACUUAUAAGCAGUCACCAGGCCCCCCUGAGCCUGUGCUUUUCCAAGCUGAAGAGUCCCAUGGCUCUCAGCCUCUCUUCAUAAGGUCUGUUCUCUUGCCCUCUGAUCAUGCAUGUGGCCCUCCUCUGGACUUUCUCAAGCUUCUCGACAUCCUUCUUAAAUUGCCGCUGGUCACGGAGUGCUAUAAUGAUUCACUACCAUCGACCACACUACUCUCUGGGUCCGACCUCGGAGCCAAUUUCCCAGCCGUUGGACUGUAGCUCAGGCCACAGUUGGUCAAUUUUUCCAUGAGGAGGUCGUGGGAUACCAGAUCAAAGGCUUUUUUAAAGUCCAGAUAUAUGAUGUCAAUCUCUUAUCCCUUGUCCAGGUGAUAUGUCACCUGGUCACAGAAAGAGAUGAGUUUAGUCAGGCAAGACCUACCUGUGACAAACCCAUGUUGGCUGUCCCUCAGGAUGUUGCCCUCAGCCAGCUUACCCUGAAGGGUCUCUUUGAUAAUUUUCUCUAGACUCUUACCAGGGAUUGAGGUCAAGCUGAUUAGCCUGUAAUUCCUGGGGUCUACUUUCCACCCUUUCUUGAAGAUGGGUACCGCAUUGGCCUUCUUCCAGUCCUCAGGUACUUCACCUGAGCACCAUGAGUUUUUGAAUAUUUUUGCCAAUGGUUGGGCUAUGAUACCUGCUAGCUCCUUGAGUACUCUAGGAUAUCUGUCAGGACCAGCUGACUUGAAGAUGUCCAGCCUUUCAAGGUGAUCCUUGACUAGAUCACCACCAAUACUGCGCAUAAAUAUGCCCUCACCCUGGCCAUCUCACAUCUUGCUAGGCAGGGUGGUCCCAUUGGACUGAUGAAAGACGGAUAUGCAGUACCCACUAAGUAGAUUGGCCUUUUCCUGGGUCUCGGUUACCAGCUGUCCCACUUGGUUCAGCAGGGGUCCAAUGUUACCCUUGCCUUUUUUUCCAACCCUCUACAUAGCUGAAAAAGGACUUUUUGUUAUCCUUGAUAUGUGAAGCCAGAUGGAGCUUGGUUGCAGCCUUGGCUUUUCUGAUCCACUCCUUGCAUGUAUGGUCCAGUGCUGAGUACUCAUCCUUGGUGGUAAUUCCAGCCUUCCAUCCUUUAUAAGUCUUUGCAUGUUGUAUUUAGUUUUCCUGCAUAUUACAGAAAGAAGGUUCUUUUGAUAUACAAUAUAAAAUUUAAUUUUUGCUUAAGAGACUAACUAUAGAAACUGCAGGAGAACAUUGUAGGCAUCUAGAUCAGGGGAAGGCCUCAGGGGGGAUAUGUGGAGAAGUGGGGAUACUUGGGAAGUGGUGGUAUGGGGGUCAACCAGCUGCUGGGGGACCCCCUGCUUCUUAACCAGCUGCUGGGGUAAACUGACCAAAAAAGGUUGAAAACUCCUGAUGUAGAUAUUUGUUCAUUGCAUUCUUCUCCUAAGUUGCCAGACCCUGCUGUUUUUGUACUGUCUCACUUAAAUAAGUAUCUGCUAUCCUACUCAACUUGUGUCAAAAUAUAUAGUACUUUGAUUAAAAUAAAGCCAAAAUAUAUAGUAGUUUGAUACUGGAAUCUGGCAAGAGAUUGUGUGGGGUGUAAUCCAAGAUACCAGCUUGAUUUGAUCAGUUGUUCCUAUUUAUUAUUAGAUGCCACUGGGUGCGUGAAUGUUUUGCAUUAAUAUGCAUGUAAACUCAGAUGCAUAUUGCACCAGAGCUUUUUGCUCCUGGGCACUGUGUUUCAACAUGUUCCUGGGAUUGCAGCAUGUUGAGUUGGGACAGAGUAGCCCUAGCUGGCAGUGGGUCCAGGGGUGAGCCUGCCAUCCUGGGGCUGCUCUCACCUGGCUCAACAGGCUGUAGAGGUACUGGCUUGGGCAUGAAGGUGCUUCAUUAUGAGGCUAGCCAGUAGGCAGCCCCUGAACUGAAGUACCCUUGUGUACCCUGUCAGUGUUUACACAUGCAUUGCAACAGAGUAAAUAAACUCUCUAGUACUUGUAUUUACAAGUACUAACCUGCAGCAGAGUUUAUUAGUUUAUUCUGUUCUAAUAACCCUGAUGCAUUUACUGAGGAGUUGCCUAAUUAGCUCCACAGUAAAUGUCUCAUGUAGAUGUGCCCAUUGAGACUUUUCAUGAAGAAGAAUGUGGUCACAUAAACAACUUACUGUUGAACAAGCAAAGGUGUGAUUUUUAUAGCGGGUCAGUUACAUCUGGUAAUAAAUGCAAAAGGCCAGGACAUAAUUGGGAACUAAGAUCAAUAAAGUACCUAAGCAAAUGUUUAAGUCUCACUACAGUCAAUUUCUGAAUUUCAUCCUAACCAAUCUGAUUUAAGCAGGCAGUAGAUAAUUCCUUUUGCAGGGGGCAUGCUGAGGUGGAGAGAGAGAGAGAGAUUUAAAGAUGUACUGAAAUGCACACGGUCAUCAUCAAGCAGCGACACCUACAACCAGGCUGUAAAUCAGGGUUGGGCAAAAUGGCAGAUGUGGCUGGUGGCUGAACUCCAUUUCCCACCAGCCCCGGCCCAUGUGGCUCCUGGCCAGCCUCCAUGGAGACCCUGGGAAGUUAAACUGGACCUGAGAAAUCUCUAUGAAACAGUACACCUACAGGAUUCAACCUGGUCCCUGCUAACAAGAUGAUGUAGCUUUGGACAGCAAUGCUAGCAGCAAAGGGAACAGAAGAGUUGCAAGGAGGCCCUGGUUGAUAGUAGCCAAAGGGGCAAGGAGACUUUUAAAUCCAGUACCCCUAUAGAAUACAGACACCAUUGGAUUUGGGCAGUACCUCCAAGUCUCUUUCUCCACGUCAUUUUAUCAGUAAUGUCACAAAAAUGUAAUUGAUGUCAUGGCUGGCCUGUUCAGUGCACUCAACUCAGUAAAGUCUGGGAAGUGCUGCUGGGACUACAAUGAGAUUCAUAUUCAGAGAGGUUUUUUAUAGUGUUGUAGCUUCUCAUCUUGAACUGACAUUACAUGCCACAGUCAUCGCUGUUGGUGUUAGAAGUUAUAUCAACAUUGGUAGCAGCUGCAGAAUUUUCUGGAUGAGGAAGCCUCCAUGUUUACCUUUUAUUAAAAGUGCCAGUGAGUCUCUGCUCCUGGCACUCAGACUUGCUCAUGUGUUAGUAACAGUAUCCUGAGCACUGGUGAAAAUGCUUGUUGAAUAAAUGAGUAAAGGAGGAACACUUAAAUGUUUGAGAACAAGUCAAGUCACAGCAGGCCAUCAUUUUCAUUUUGGAAAACUGUGUGUAAGAAAUCCAUUGAGGCAGUUUAAAAAAGCUGAAUUCAUAAAAAGGGAGAAUGCCUAGGUCGUUCCUGUUUUGUGAGAUUACAGCUCAUUAUUGUUAUUUAAAGUAAUCUUUGUAAACUAGAGAUCAUGUAGUUUUGGGGGAAAGGAGGCAGUUCCUGCACCAACCAAACACAGGCAAAACUACACACCUGAGCAGAUAGCCAUAACGUUCCUGUUCAGGCAUGUUACUAACUGGUUUAGGCGUAUAGUGUAGAAACAUUGUCCAAAUGAUAAUCCACAGCCUCAAAGUAGUGGCUGCAUGAUGGAGUUCAGUGUGGUAGAUGACCAUACUGGGAGAAGGAAGAAAUGUGUGUAACACCCACACGGGGGUGUGUGUGUGUGUGUGUGCACGCACGCAUACACGUGUGAUGGCAAGCUGGGGACUGUAUCUGGAGCAAAUAUGUAAAAGCCUCUAGCCUCAUUGGCCAGGGUAAGCAGAGGAUUCUCUGCGGGACACCCUUGUAAUUUAUUUAGUGUUUCCCAGGUGGUCUGGGUGGGGGCUUGAGCCAAAGUAAAAUAUAUUUGGACUCCAAAAUUGAACCUGGCUCUUGUUGCUGUUGACCUGGUGCCUGGCAGAAGAGUUAUGUGUGCUUAAAAGAAACAGGAAUAUGUACAUAUGUCCUAAGGAACAAGCGUCAGAAAUCUAGUCAAGACCAAGAAAAUGAACAUAGAGAGAACUUAUGUAUCAGUUUUAGUGCACAUCUGGUUUCCCUGUGUACACCUUCUAUGCUGCGGUCAGACUUUUCAUAAUGCAGCUAGAUAAAAAAAGCAUCUAGCUCAUCUGCUUAGUUUGUCUUUAACACACAUUAUCAACAUAUCUAAAGGCAAAGGAUUAAUCUAUUGACCAUCAUAGGAAAAGUAUCAAGUCCUUCAUCUUUGCCAACAAGUGGAUUUGAGAGAUGGCUUUCUAAAUGCAAGUUAUGGGAUAUGAAGAUUAAGAAAGCAUGAGCUAAGUUUGUGUAAUGUCCCAUCCGAGCAAACAUUCUUAUUGCUUUCCACUCCUGCAGCUUCCAAAUUGUAUGUCAUUUAUAAAGAAAAGAAUGCUGUACUGCAAAUUAUACCACAAGCACGGAAACAUAUGGUUUCCUAGUGGAAAAGAAACAUUUGCUUUGAAAAAUGUUAGCCUUUUUAAAAAACAAAACAAAGAACAAGACAUUUCUGAGUAGAGUCUCUUCUCUCAUUUAAAAAAAAUGUUUGUGGGUGUGGGGUUUUUUUGGUUUUUUUGUUUUUUUGUUUUUGUUUUUUUUAACUUUCGGAGUUCCAUUUUUACGCAUUUGUUUAGGGUCAUUGCAGAGCCAGCAUUGGAUGUAUGUUUCCUCCUUCCUAAUUUAUGACAUUUCUAUUACAUUAGUUUUUUAUUACCCAGUGUUUAGUAAUGGAGUUUGGGAUGUUGUAAAAUAGCCAUGAAUACAUUUUGUGUUUAGAAGGAUUUUCUUCAAAUCGUCUUAUGAGGAUAUGAUAUAAUAGACUCAUCUUGAAUUCCACCUUAUGAUUUUAGCUGUUGAUUUGGUUUAUACUUAUACUCCUUGAGCAUAGUGAAUUUCAUAGAGCUCUAAAAUGCAUUUUUGGUAGAAUGUUUUUCUGUUGUGUUAAGGAACCCAAUCUCUUCAUUUGUGGCACAUUGUUUAAACCUGUAAACAGCAUGAAGCUCGUGAAUAUUGGAAAGCUCGAUAUCGGGGUAUGAAUAGUGGUAAGCGUUCUUUCAGAUCUAGUCAGUGUAAGGUUUGCCUUAUAAAAUGCUACAUACAUUCUAACAGUCUUAAAUGAAGUGCCUGGCUACUAUGACAUCUUCGUUUCUCCAUCUAAAGCGGUACUAUGAUGUGGCCAAAUGUGUAUAAAUUCUGAUGUGUUUUCUUUUUGACUCAUUUUAUGUAAUAAAAUAUAAUUUACACUUGCAACAA